UCGUUGUUGUUUCCUGAAUUGUACUUGUUUGAGCUGUGGUCAGUGUAGAUGCAGUUGUUUCUGCUGUUGUUGG